ensembl:misc_RNA 7SK 7SK RNA
GGAUGUGAGGGUGACCUGGCUCUGACCUGUCACCCCAUCCAUCACUAGGGCUGAUCUGACUGAUCUGGCUGGCUAGGCCGGUGACCCCUUCCUCCCUUACCGCUCAGUGUGCGUCCCUCCCUAGGCUGUGUCCUCAGUUCAAGAGGACUACCUUCCCUGCGAGAGAAGGACCAUUCUUGGGUCAAGAGUACGGGAGUAGCUGCUCUCCAGUGCUAGAGUGUCUCAUCGUCCUUCUGCAGGAAGCUUAGGGUAGUCGUUUCCAAGACUCCAGACACAUCCAAAUGAGGCACUGCAUGUAUGUGGUAGUCUGCCUUUCUUU